CCCGGGAAACUCAGAGUCAACAGCUGCGCUCUGAUUGGCUCAUUCAAACGUUCAAACCAGAAACCAAUCAAAGCCAAUCAAUAGGCACAGCAAACCAUGAGAGAAGUUUUCUCUCACAACUUCAGUUUGUUUUUCGACUUGAAUUGUACAUCUUAUACGUUAUGUUAAAGGAGGAAGUACUCUGAAGGGAUUUAUCUUGGUCUGAUUUUUUUCUUUUACAUUUCCAAAACCUGGCCUUUUAAUAGGGGUGUGUAGACUUUCUUUGCUAAAUACUGAAGUAAAAACUUAAGUAAUCCAACUCUUAUAAACAACUCUUAUCAACACAUUAAACCUUAAUAUUUAAGUCACUAAUCCAAUCCCUUAAGACUACCCUGGAGGUGUAUCUAAAGUCCCUCAAACUGUACCCAUUGGCCAUUUUUACGGAGCCUUUAUAAAAGACCCAAUAAAUGGUGAAAGGAUUGUUGGUAGAAAUAGCAAGACUGAAUUUAUACACCGACACAAACAUAAAGGUAUUUUUAAUAUUUUUCAAUGGAAGAAAAUGUUUGAUGAGUCAAGUAAAAAACUUAAGGGUCUAAUUUCUCUCUGGUUUUCCUAUUUACAGCAACAGAAAGCACAAGUCGUUCUCCCUGACUGAGGAGCUCCUGAGUAAAAAUGCCCAGCUUUCGGAGAAGAACGAAGAACUCUGCAGGGAGGUGGAGGAGAAACUGCGGAGAAUCCAGAUGUUGGAACUCCGAAACCUCCAUCUCCACUGCAGGGUUCUGACGGAAGCUGGAGCGAAGCAGGAGCUCCUCAGGGAGAACGAAGAGCUGCGGGAACAACUGGAGAGAGAGAAACAAUGGAGGGAGCGUUUCCUGGGAGAAAGAGAACGGCGGGAAUCCCAGUAAGAUCUGGGAGGAGAUCUCGCAGGAUCAAAAGAGAUCUGAGGCAGCCUCCAAGGACCUCUAAGACCUUCAAGUAGCUCCUCCUCCUAUUCCUCCUCCUCCCCUCCCCCUCCGGGACCCAUUCUCUGUCUCCACCACAUCCUGGCAACACCAAAAAGCCUCUGAGAACCAGGCAAAAAGUGCACCCUAUUUUUUCCAUGACUUUUGGAGGUUCUGUACAGGAUCAUGGACCCAACUUCCAGAGGGUUUGUAGGCCCUAGGAGACCCUCCCUCAUUCUUCUGCUGCUGGAUAACUUGUAAGAAGGUUCAAAGAAGAAAGAACUGAAGGACUGAAGAGGAAUGCUUUUGUAAAGUCGAUUUGAUCCUUUGAAAUUUAUUUUGUAAUGUAAAUAGAGAUCUGGAUUUGGAAUACCCCUCAAGAUCUUUUUUUAAUUCCUUCAAUUCUGCUAUUGGUUCCUGCUUUUUAAUAUGCCUCAGUGUUGAUUUUAAUUCUAAGAGAUUUGAGGGUUUUUUAGUUGUUAAUUCUUGGGGGCAUAAACUGUCAGUAUUUUAAUUUUUCUUGUUCUCUUUAAUGCUUUUGGCCUGUGACCGUAAUAAAUGUUGAGUUGAGUUGAA